rnacentral:snRNA from 1 species
AAGAUGUCCAUCAAAAACAUG